rnacentral:rRNA from 1 species
GGAAACAGGUGCUAAUCCCGCAUAACAGGGGAUGACACAUGUCAUUUAUUUGAAAGGGGCAAUUGCUCCACUACAAGAUGGACCUGCGUUGUAUUAGCUAGUAGGAGAGGUAACGGCUCACCUAGGCGACGAUACAUAGCCGACCUGAGAGGGUGAUCGGCCACACUGGGAGUGAGACACGGCCCAGACUCCUACGGGAGGCAGCAGUAGGGAAUCUUCGGCAAUGGGGGCAACCCUGACCGAGCAACGCCGCGUGAGAGAAGAAGGUUUUCGGAUCGUAAAGCUCUGUUGUAAGUCAAGAACGAGUGUGAGAGUGGAAACUUCACACUGUGACGGUAGCUUACCAGAAAGGGACGGCUAACUA